rnacentral:rRNA from 1 species
GAUGAACGCUGACAGAAUGCUUAACACAUGCAAGUCUUUGGCGAAUCUGUGCUUGCACCGGCUAGCCAAGGCGGACGGGUGAGUAACGCGUAAAGAACUUGCCCUGCAGACAGGGAUAACAGACGGAAACGACUGAUAACACCUGAUACAGUUGCCGGCACGCAUGUGCCUGGCAAUGAAAAGAGAUGCUGCAGGAGAGCUUUGCGUCCUAUUAGCUUGUUGUUGAGGUGACGGCUCACCAAGGCGAUGAUAGGUAGCCGGCCUGAGAGGGUGAACGGCCACAAGGGGACUGAGAUACGGCCCUUACUCCUACGGGAGGCAGCAGUGGGGAAUAGUGGACAAUGGGGGCAACCCUGAUCCAGCAAUUCUGUGUGCACGAAGAAGGUUUUCGGAGUGUAAAGUGCUUUCAGCAGGGAAGAAGAAAGUGACGGUACCUGCAGAAGAAGCGACGGCUAAAUACGUG